UACGUAGGGUGCAAGCGUUGUCCGGAAUUAUUGGGCGUAAAGAGCUCGUAGGCGGUCUGUCGCGUCGGCUGUGAAAACCCGGAGCUCAACUCCGGGCCUGCAGUCGAUACGGGCAGACUGGAGUUCGGCAGGGGAGACUGGAAUUCCUGGUGUAGCGGUGAAAUGCGCAGAUAUCAGGAGGAACACCGGUGGCGAAGGCGGGUCUCUGGGCCGGUACCGACGCUGAGGAGCGAAAGCGUGGGGAGCGAACAGG
rnacentral:rRNA from 1 species